rnacentral:ncRNA from 1 species
GAGAGCCGGAUGCAGGGACAACCUGCCCGUCCGGUUCGGGGAGCGCUUGGCGGAAACCGGGAGCGCAAGCUCUGCGGCGCCGCCAUUCGACUCCAU